rnacentral:rRNA from 1 species
UACAGAGGUCUCAAGCGUUUGUUCGGAUUCAUUGGGCGUAAAGGGUGCGUAGGUGGCGCCGUAAGUCAGGUGUGAAAUUUCGGAGCUUAACUCCGAAACUGCAUUUGAUACUGCGGUGCUUGAGGACUGGAGAGGAGACUGGAAUUCACGGUGUAGCAGUGAAAUGCGUAGAUAUCGUGAGGAAGACCAGUGGCGAAGGCGGGUCUCUGGACAGUUCCUGACACUGAGGCACGAAGGCCAGGGGAGCAAACAGG